rnacentral:rRNA from 1 species
CCGGAUUGCUAUCGGGAUGGGACUAAGCCAUGCAAGUCUAAAUGGUAUUUCAUGCCUAUACCAUUGGCGAAUCGCUCAGUAACACGUAGUUAAUCUACCCUAUGGAGGGGCAUACCCACGGGAAACUGUGGCUAAUUCCCCAUAGGCCACGCGGACUGGAAUGUUGCGUGACCCAAAGGGGCUUCUGAGGCUAUGUGAUGAAGCUUGCCGUAGGAUGAGACUGCGGCGGAUUAUGGUUGUUGGUGGGGUAACGGCCCACCAAGCCUUUGAUCCGUACGGGCCGUGAGAGCGGGAGCCCGGAGAUGGGAACUGAGAUAAUGUCCCAAGCCCUACGGGGUGCAGCAGGCGCGAAACCUCCGCAAUGCACGCAAGUGUGACGGGGCCAUCCCGAGUGCCUACGGGCUUUUCUUCAGUGUAAGAAGCUGAUGGAAUAAGG